rnacentral:rRNA from 1 species
UAGGGAAUCUUCGGCAAUGGGGAGAACCCUGACCGAGCAACGCCGCGUGAGUGAAGAAGGUUUUCGGAUCGUAAAGCUCUGUUGUUAAGGAAGAACGAGUGUGAGAAUGGAAAGUUCAUGCUGUGACGGUACUUAACCAGAAAGGGACGGCUAACUACGUGCCAGCAGCCGCGGUAAUACGUAGGUCCCGAGCGUUGUCCGGAUUUAUUGGGCGUAAAGCGAGCGCAGGCGGUUAGAAAAGUCUGAAGUGAAAGGCAGUGGCUCAACCAUUGUAGGCUUUGGAAACUGUUUAACUUGAGUGCAGAAGAGGCGAGUGGAAUUCCAUGUGUAGCGGUGAAAUGCGUAGAUAUAUGGAGGACCACCAGUGGCGAAGGCGACUCUCUGGUCUGUAACUGACGCUGAGGUUCGAAAGCGUGGGUAGCAAACAGG